rnacentral:lncRNA from 1 species
CUUCUUGAUAUUGCUGAGUUCAGUGAAAUCAGACAUGAGAUUGGUCCUGAUUUACAGGUGCUGUGCCAACAUAAAGACCUACCAGGACUGCAAGUCUCUGCCAGAUUUUGAGGAGAGAUGAACAAUUUUAGUCAUCUAUACAGAUCUGAAAAACAAAGAAUCCCUAUCUGCUGCAUCAUUCUUCUGAACACAUUUCUUGGAUGAUUUUUUUCAAGGACUCAGGUCAGGAAGAAUCUACCCCAAGGGUAGUUGGAGGGAAGAAAAAAUAACAAGGCAUGGUGGCACCUGGGGACCACAACACUGUUCACAUCCUCUGUAAUCAUCAGUGCACUGCUCAGCUGCUUUGGGGGAAUUUCUCGUACUCGUAACCACCAAUUUCCAUGUGGUGAAAGCCACAAGAACCCUUCCUUGACUUCCAGGACUUCCUACAAAGGCAUGAAUAACUGUGUUUUUAAACAAUUUUCCAUUAAUACUGUAAAUAUUUUGCAUUAAUUUAGCAUUUUUUAUCAGAGAUUUUAGAGAUUCUAAUAUAAA